UUUUUGUUCCCUCGUGAAAUAGAACGGAUGAGGGUGUGCUUGUUCACGUAUUUUCUCUAAUACCCUUAAGUUGCACAACCGUUGUUCGAGGAGUUGGAACAAUUCGCGCAGUGGAUAUUUUAACAGAGGGUUUUACAAGUUUAAUCCAAUCAAAGGUUAGAGAGAAGCCAAAGAUCAGUGCCAUCAGGAGAGGACAGAGUCAAAUUUGGUGGGGGAUCAUCGUUUCAAUGAACUUCUUGUCGAACUUCCUCCAAAUCCUUCCUCCCUAAGCGAGCGAGCCGAAAGCCAUUCCCAUAAAAUGUGCGGGCAGGAAGUGCAAAAACUGGAAUAUUUUAAGCCAAUGUCUAUGCAUCGAUUUGUACUAUUACCUGGAUACUGAUCACAAAUGCAUGCAGUCUUCGUGGCAUUUCUCACAACGUGAAUAGGAACGAUCAAUGUCAAGAAAUGGCAAAAGAAAAGUCCGCCGCCGACUUGCAGAGGCUUCCUGGGAAUUACACUCGACGGUACCACAUUCGACAUAGAGCAUAUACUUAAUGCGACAGUUUUCGAAAAGCCGGAUUUUAAACUUUUUUACAAGUGUAAAAAAGGGUGCUGGAAUAACAGAUGGUGUGGAGUGAGCCCAGAUCUUCUUGAGUGGGGAUUUGGUGUCAUUUGUAUGAGACGGGGAGUCUCAGUCAUGAGGUGAAAUUGACAUGAGAACGGCCGACAAGGAUUGACGUUGGCCAAAUUGGAUAUUAUAUCUGCUCCAGUAGCACUUCUUGCCGCCAUUGACCAUCCUUUCCUUCCCUCCAAGCCCGAAAACAAGUCUAACUUUGGCUAUGUUUUCGCCCGACUUUCAAAUCUCAGAGUUUCUUGCUUUCCUUGGAAAAUUAUCCACACGUGUUGAAGUUUGUAAGGGAGUAAGGAUCUUGGACCAAACACAUGGAAAUUUUGGCCUCAUGGAAAUCAUCACGAAAAGUUCGAAAGUCAGACUUUGGCUGAGGCACUCCCAUAUUUUCACUUCAAAGUAGAAAUGUCAGUGGUUUCUCAGGUUCGGAAGCCGAAAUAGAUCUCAUCCUUUCAGUGUUCCCAAGGGUUGUUCCUAUUCCGAGAUCAUCGACAUAUGAUAGACAAGUGCAUAUUAUCUCCUUAAUACACUCCGAACACUGCCAAGAAAAUCCGAGCCUACAAUAUCAAAAUGUAUGAAGCGUCUCGUUCCAAAAAUAAGUCAUCAUUUCUUGAAGUGCAUCUCGGAAUUGGAACAUUCCGAGGAGGAGUUGAAGUGGAACAAACGAGCCAUGAGGAUAAUUUCAGGUUCACGAACCAAGUUGGGCAAAAAACUUGACAGCAUCAAUUUGGAAACGAGCCUUUUUGUGUGUGAAGUCCGUCUUUUGGGGUGUUCCAUUUCCAUGAAGGAUUGACGGUGCAUUACUCGUCCAAAUGGAACAACGAGGCUCCCGUUAGGUUAGGUUUCCCUGGCUCAUGGCUCUCCAGGAGUAAAUGAAAGAUCCUCUAAGGGUGAGAGAUGAAAGAGCGAAUAAAAUCUUGUUCUUGGCCCGUUCCUUGUGGCCUCGGUUGGACCGUUGUUGCCCCGUAAAAGAAUAAUUGGUGCUCCAACGAGGUGUUUCCAUCGGUGGAAAAAAGAACCGACGACGACCAGGGAACUGGCAAGUUGGAAGUUCGAGUGGAUUCCCUCUUUCCCUCUUCUCACCCUCCUUCUCCACUCUGUGUGUUCCCAGGUCCGUCAGCUUUGCUCUAAACUCUCGGACUAAUGGACAGACAAUGUCCAAAGGGUUUGUCCACACCCAACCAGACAGCUUAGCCAUGUCAGGUGCAUUUACUCAUUGAAUACCUUUUGGAGCGAUGCAAUUGCUUCACCUUUUGGAACUAUUCUUAUCGAAUCGGUUCUAAUGUUAAUCUACAUUUUCCAAGGCUUGCGAUACGAUCCCUUCAAGACUGAUUCUUUUUUCGGUUUCAUUUCUAAAAGUCUGGUUGGGAAAUUCCAUGAGCAUCUCUAAGUCGUGCUCAUGGCACACAAACAAGUGACGAAGAAGAUGAGAAGAAGACGAUGGAACAGUCUGGUGAGGAAGUGGAUGUGGAGGAGGAGAAAAGAUCGACAACUUCAUUGUGUUGCUUGAUGCUUUAUCAGAGGAACGUGGAAAGAAAAUCGAUGGAUGGAGCAUUCUCCAGCCCAACCGGAAGAGAUAAAUCCUGAUCCAGGCUAGUCCUGUUUGGGCAACAGUCAAAAUCCGUCGGAUAUACUUACGUCCACGUGGAUGCCGUUGACAUCGAACACUUGUAAUUGGGGGUGCUCAUUGGGCACAAAUCUGUAGAAUUCAUGGUCAUCCUUGUACCAUUUUACGGAAUAGAGGCUCUCUCCUUCCAUGUCGAA